GGUGGCGGAGACGGAGUUUGAAGAGUAGACGGAGAAAUUGACGCCGUCGUCUCUCACGGUGGCGCCGAACGGGGAAGUGAGUCCGUCGGAGACGAGGAAUCUCUUCGAUAGAGGAGGUUUCUCCACUACGGCGACGUUUUCGGGUUCGGUGGUUCUUGUGUCCUUGGCGGAGAUGGACAGUGGCUGCGCGGCUCGACGGUUGAAAUUGGGGGCGGGGAAUUUAGGGAAUGUGUGGUUAGAGAAGAGAGUGUUGGGAUUGGUGAGGGGGAGGAAGGUGGAGCUGCAUUUGAUUGCAUCCAUGGAUGCUCUUCUUCUUCUUCUUCUUCUUCUUCUUCUUCGAGCUUUGUGUGAAAGAGAGAGGAGGAAGUGUUGAUUACACUCAAAGAGUGACCGAUCAUCAUUUGAUCUUAUUUUCGAUAAAAUCAAAUAAAUGAAAAAGAGAGAGAGAGAGAGAGAGAGAGAUAAAUGGGCUUAAAAUGGGCUUAGAGACGGGCCUGUUUGCAUAUAUCAAAUGAUCAUCAGUAUUAUUAGAGACGAGAGCAUAUAUCAAAAUAGGUCAAAUUAGCAUCAGUUUCUUCAAGUUGUGAUGUUAUCAUCACUCAAAGAAGACUGGUGAUCAUUUGAUCUAUUUUCGACAGAAACUAAUAAAUAUAUGAAAAUGUUAAAAUAAAAGAAUAUAAAUGGCUUACAAAAUGGGUUUAGAGCUCUUCACGAACUAUCUAACAAUACUAAAAGAAAAAUAUGCUCAGAGGAGAGAGUGUCCAUGUCACUUAACUAAAUCAACCAAUUAAAAAUCACUAACAUUUCAAGUCACUUUUCUGCAACUGAAUAAAUCGGGCUAUGGUAAUAUCCACUUGCUUUCUAUUUUGUUUUUGUCCAGCCUACUAAGAAGCCCACGUUAGAAACCCAAAAAUUUAUUACUCAUUUCAUUCUCUGUGCCGACUUAUCGGAUUCACUUUUGUUUUUCUCAUCUGAAAAAGGAUGUUAUUCACAACUCAAUUCUUCAACUGUUUAUCUUCCUUCACCUCUCUUUCUCCAUAUCUCAUUAAAUCUCUUCUUCGUCGCAACAGACGUGAUCCUUGGAACCGUCGCAAUUCCCUUCCCCUUUCACCCUAUAGAAUCACAUCAAGCAAUGGCUUCCGAAAUGCAAAAUCCACCUAGAGAAAUAAUUCUACAGUCUCAUUAACCAAAGAAAUCAACCGAGUUGUGGAUCACUCUCGAACCAUUUGUUUCAUUCACAUCUCUGAUCUCCCCGAGUUGGAAGACACCCGUUUGGGCUCAAAGGCGAUCUCUAUUCGGUUCUGAUUUCCUCUUAUCGAUUCUCUGAGUUUAGGGUUCUAAACGAUUCAUUUGAUUAUGGUUGAAACUUGGGGAAAUGAGUUUGUCUGAUGCAAUUUUCUUUUUCUGCAGUUAAUAAACCACAAAACAUAUGUUAAAUCAAGGUUAAAAUAUGGUUGGAACAGAUGGAGGCAGCAAACUACCCUGGGAAGAACCAACAACCAAUGUAGUUUUUUUCAGAUUACAUCUCAUCUGAGAAAUGAGAAUAUCACAUAUGUUGAUGAUCAUUUUCAUGAUAUCUCCAAGUAAGCUAAAUACACAUGAACCAAAAAAAACUACAACAUUUGUGUAGACGAUUGUAGCAUCUGACUGUAAUUGCAGGGACUGGCUAUACUCUGAAGUUUCAACUGUAUACAGGUAUGUGAUAUAAUUAAUUAGAGAUUUGCUUUCAUCAUCUUCAGUUAAUGUUAUUAAUUUUUUGUGUCUCUUGCUACCCCGUCGAACAACUUUUGUAUACUGUACUGUAGUAUUGAUUUUUAAUUUUUAUAACCCUCAAUAUAUGCUUACAGUAUUACCUUAUGACAUGUGUGGUAUUCUAGGUUACAUACUACAAGAUAUGAUAAGAGGAAGAACAGUUCGAUGCAACAGUUUAAGAUGGCAUUGUCAUAUGAUCCAUUGCGCUGGGAAUCAUAUGGAGGAAUUUGUAGUUUAGGUAAGUGAAAGCUUUGUAUGAGUUUUUUGUUUUGUUUAUCAGUUUAUGUUUUCUGGUUGUUACAACUGGAAAUCUGAGAGCAGAUUUAUAUAUUUUCUUCAACAUUCUUCCAUUACCUUAUCAGGUGUCUUUGAAGAAUCCUUCCACAGUUCUCUGCAAUGUAGCUUCCCAGCUUCUCAGAAAACAUUGAUUUCACAAAGAAUAAACUUCUCAGAAGGAGAAACCAUGGACCAGCUUUGAUUGGCAAACAGAACAUGUUCCAGGAGAGUAACAACAUGAUCUGAUAUUAAAGCAGCUUAGAGCAGAGAUUCCGCCAGAUACUGACAAGCAACGUGACCGUAUUUCUCAUACACAUGUGAAAUAUCUUAAAGUUAAACUAGAAUGAGAGCGUAUUAGGUAAUGUUACUUUUUCAAAAAUUCUCAGUUAUCAUAAUGUUGUACGAGUACGACUAUUAUAUUUUCUUCAUGAUAUAAUGAUAAAGUUCCUUACAUGUUUCCUUAUCUCUAAGUAUAUAUCGUUUAGGUAUUGGAUGCUCCACUGCCUAAGCUCUAUAAGAAUAUGUGCCAUCCAAAAUGAGAGGGAUUGAUGUCCGUACAUGGAGUCUUAAAAAUAUUUGUAAGUAAAAGAAGAGUCAUUAUAGAUGGUAUAUAUGCAUUAAGCUCUUACUGCUUUCUUCCAUGUUCUCUCUGAUGUGCGGACAAUGAUAAUCUAGCUGCGCAUUGUGCAUAUUUUGAUAUAGAGGUUCUGCACCUGAUUUCCUCUUCCAGCUCUAUGGCUGAAUUUAUUUGUUCUUUUAUUUCAGUGACAAUCUAAUGCUACUUGAUUUAUUUGUCGUCUUUUAAUUUCACAUCUUCUAUCUUUAAAGCCCCAGAAGAAUCUGAGCAUCACAGGAGUGGUUAAAUAGCAACAAGGAGAAAGAUUCAUAUAUAUCAGUCAGCUGGAUUGCUCUCAUCUCCGGGUAUGCAAAACUUAUGUUUUUCAGCUAGAGAAUUAUACUCGGUCAUGUUUCUUCAAGAUGUUUACUUCAGAUGCAGUAUCACCAUAACUAUGACCUAAAGAAAGCUGUUAAAUUUUAUGUAGUCAUGAUAAGUAGAAAAAUUUAUGUUAUCAGAGAGCUAAGGUUGUUUAGUUGUGAAGUGAAGUUGCAUUGUAUUAUUUAAAUCUAGAGGCUCUCACCUUAUUACCACCUCUAUUAGUUUCAGGUACCAUGCACCAUCAGAAGCUGGUGCGGAUAUUCUUUUGGAUUCUUUGUCAAUGGGAGGGCUUACUGCUGCGCAAAACAGCUUACUGGAUGGAGACUUACUAUUUAUUCACGAGAAUAAUGCUUCAAUAGCCACCAUCGAAUCAUUUUCAUCAACUUCUCCCUUUGCUUCUACUUCAAUGAUGGAUUUAUAGGACGUAUUUUCUCCCUCACCUCAAAAAGGUAAAUUUAAACAUUGAGAAGUUACUUUCACAUAAUCCCCUAAUUUAUAUAUGUUACUUUUUUUGUGUGCACAAACUUCAUUACUAAGAUUAAAUGGUUUUAAUCUUUCAGCUAGCACAUCGUGGUUUGUAUUGAUGUUGCCAUUUCUCGUAUAUAUGUUACUUAAAUGUGAUGGUGACAUUACUUUUCUUGGAUGACAGGGGACAAGGGUCCAACAUUUCCAUCCCUUUUUGCAUUGGAGAGCAGUACUUAACAAAUAUAAUGUGCCAUUUGAAUUGUGAGGUACCAUUACAAGCUUAAUAUAUAUGAGUGUUAUUCCGUGAAAUAACUCGAAUUUCAAAUCAUUCACUUGCUUUCACAGAUAUUACUCUAGAUGUGUCCGCUUUCUUUUACAUGCUGCAGUUCCAAAAGUCAGGUCCCAAAUUUGUUUUUAUGCUUAAUGUUAUAAUUCUUACGCUUCAUAGUUAAUUCCACACAAUCUUUCCUAUUCAAAAAGCCGCCAUAGAGUUUGGUUCUUAGCUAAAACGGUCCAAGCUUUUAUAGCAUGAUAAACUAUUGUUUUAGCAAAUUUUUUACUUCAUAAAUUAUAACACUAACUAUUCUGGACACUACAAGAAAAAUGGGCUUUGAUAGCAGUGAAGGAUAACAUUUUUUGCCUUUCUGCUAUGGUUGACAUACCCGUUAGUUUUAGAUAGCGUUUGUAUAUUUAGAAACGCUAUGAUAGAGCAGUAUAUUUAAAAACGCUAUGAUAGCGUAUUUUUAAUAGCGUAUUUUUAAUAGCGCAUUAUUAAAAACGCUAUCUUUGACUUUUUAAAUCUCUAAACCCAAAACAAGUUUUAAACCCUAAACUUUAAACAUAACGUCAAAAUCUAACUAUUUUAUAUCAAAUCUUAAAUUUAACCUUAAAUAUUAAAUAUAAACUCAAAAACUAUUUUUUUUUCAAUAAUUAAUCUUAAAUCCCAAUGCCCUAAACUUUUAACCCUCAAACCCUAUACUCAAACCUUUAUUCUAAACUCAUAACUUUAAAUCUAAAAUCUAAAUUCAAAAAAAAAAAUCAAACUUAAACUUAAUUCUUCAAAUUAAUUCAAAUUUAUUUUCGAAUUUUAACUUAAAUUCUUAACCUUGAACUCUAAACCUUAUAUACUCAAAUCUUAUAUAUCAUAAUAAACCUCAAACCUUCAAUUUACACAUUUAGUUAUUAAACUAAAUCAUAAAUCACAAAUCUAAUAUUCUCAAAGUUAAACACCAAACUUUGAGCAUACAUUUUUAAAAUUUAAUAUGUUUAAAUUUUAAACCUUUAAACUAAUUUUAUUUACUAUACUCUUGUAUUUUAAACCUUUAAACUAAUUUCAUUUUACAUUUAAAGUAAAUCAUAACUUAUAAAUAAUUUUAAAAUUUUGAGUCUAUUAUUUGAAACAUUGAACCAAACUAUAAUUACAUUAAUUAUAUUUUUUUUGGUCAAAAUUAUAUAAAUAUUUAACUUAAUUAUUAUAUGUUUGGUUUAUCUUUUUCCUUUUUCUCAUUGGUCAAUAUCUUAAACACAAGGAUAUCAAUCUUGACCACUGAGUAUUUUUGAUCCUAUGACUUGAAAUCACACAUCUCAUAUCUCAAUCUCUUUCUUCCUUCCUUUCUUCUUUCCUUGUCUCACGUUAUCUUUUUUUUUUUUGUUACAGAUCUAAAUCUGAUCUCAUCUAAAUCUUUUUUAAUUCUUUGGAUCUCUAUCUUCCUCAAUCACCACCACCACACGACGACCCGUUUGUUUUCGCCGUCCCAGCAUCACAACCACCACCACACGACCGUUCGUUCGCCGUCCCAGCAUCACCACCACCACACAACCACGGUUAGAACUCAUCUCUCUCUCUCUCUCUCUCUCUCUGUUUUGAACUUUUUUUAGGGAUAGAGGAAGCAAGGCAAGGCAGGUAUAGUUCUGCAACACCCUGGUACGUGCCAGGGAACUCAAUGUUACUAGACUCAUGCCUUGUGAAACCUCGCACAUGCAUUUCAUAUAUGACAAGAUCCUUCUGUGAAAGCUUCAGAGGCAUAUCCCCCUCCCAAUCAAACUGAAUACCAAAACAAGGCCAAUAACACCACAUGUUAAAUUUUACUAAACAAGUAACUGACCUCACAAUAAAGAAAGAAUAUCUUGUAUCAAAGUAUUAAACUGAUUAAUAAUAGUUUUGAUCUCUAGAAACACUAUUAAGGAAGAAUAAUCUUUAUAUGCAUUUAGAAGUACCUCUUCAUCGUCGAGAGUGGGCACCAUACACGCCAUUUGAGGCCAACAAUUAUCAUCAGCUCCCAAAACUCCAAACUCAUCCCUACUAAUAAUUGCCUUAACAAACCAAAAGGAGGAAAAAGUUAGAGCCAAUUCAAGCCAAGAGAUGGAUCUUCAACACUUCAGGACCGGUUCUAGGCAAAGCCGGAUGAAACAUUCAACAUUCGCCUCUGGCCCCCAAAUUUUUUGAAAAAAAAAUUGGGCAUGAUUAACCCCGGUCUCUUAGCUGGGUUCUUAACUCAUGAUUUGACAUUUUCUUAUUUUUUUUUUGUUUUACACUUUUCGACUAAGAGACGGCUCUUAUAUCUUUUAUUUAAGAGAGCGUUCUUACUUUUUCUUAGUUAAAAUCUAAGAAAAGUUAAGAACGGUCUCUUAGCCGAAACUAAGAACCAAGUUAAGAAACAUAACCUUAUAUAUAGGCCUCUAAAUUUAUUUAAAAAAAUAAUAAUAUUGAAAUCUUUACUAAAUAGUCUUCAGCCUCCAAAAUCUCAGGGCCGGCCGCACUUGAAUUUUCCAGUUACCUUAGCGUAAGGAUCCAAUAAGAUAUUGGAGGAGUCAUAGUAAUGCCCUUCUUCAGGAGAAAACUUCCCAUCGAAUCUAUAACCAUACAACAUAUCCUCGAAACUCCCUUUCAAGAACACGUGCCACACGUGGCCCGUUCUAUUCCUCGACGGAUCGAGCUCAAUCUCCUCCGUCACUUUGUUCUGCAAUCAAAAAUCAAAUUUCGAUUUACAUCGAAUUACACUCUCGAGCGUGUGGAAAAUGGCUGACCUGACGGAGAUCGGAGAGGGAGAUCAAGCAGAUGGUUGCGGAGACGGAGUUUGAAGAGUAAACGGAGAAAUUGACGCCGUUGUCUCUCACGGUGGCGCCGAACGGGGAAGGGAGUCCGUCGGAGACGAGGAAUCGCUUUGAGAGAGGAGGUUUCUCCACUACGGCGACGUUUUCGGGUUCGCUGGUUCUUGCUGUGUCCUUGGCGGAGAGGGAGAGUGGCUGAGCGGCUCGACGGUUGAAAUUGGGGGCGGGGGAUUUAGGGAACGCGUGGUUAGAGAAGAGAGUGUUGAGAUUGGUGAGGGGGAGGAAGGUGGAGCUACUGCAUUUGAGUGCAUCCAUGGAUGCUCUUCUUCUUCUUCUUCGAGGUUGUGUGUGAAAGAGAGAGGAGGAAGUGUUGAUUACA
rnacentral:lncRNA from 1 species